rnacentral:rRNA from 1 species
UACAGAGGGGGCGAGCGUUGUUCGGAAUUACUGGGCGUAAAGGGCGCGUAGGCGGCCAACUAAGUCAGACGUGAAAUCCCUCGGCUCAACCGGGGAACUGCGUCUGAUACUGGAUGGCUUGAAUUCGGGAGAGGGAUGCGGAAUUCCAGGUGUAGCGGUGAAAAUGCGUAGAUAUCUGGAGGAACACCGGUGGCGAAGGCGGCGUUCUGGACUGCAACUGACACUGAUGAACGAAAAGCCAGGGGAGCAAAACGGGGAUUAGAC